rnacentral:rRNA from 1 species
CGAAGGGGGCUAGCGUUGUUCGGAAUUACUGGGCGUAAAGCGCGCGUAGGCGGUUUUGCAAGCCAGAGGUGAAAUGCCUGAGCUCAACUUAGGAAUUGCCUUUGGGACUGCGAGGCUUUGAGGACUGGAGAGGUGAGUGGAAUUCCCAGUGUAGAGGUGAAAUUCGUAGAUAUUGGGAAGAACACCGGUGGCGAAGGCGGCUCACUGGCCAGUUUCUGACGCUGCAGCGCGAAAGCGUGGGGAUCAAACAGGAUUAGAUACCCUGGUAGUCCACGCUGUAAACGAUGAGUGCUAGGCGUCGGCAUGCUUGCAUGUCGGUGCCGCAGCUAACGCGUGAAGCACUCCGCCUGGGGAGUACGGUCGCAAGAUUA